CUUUUAAUAUUCAUCAAGUUUGACCUCAAAUCAGGUAGGAUUACCCGCUGAACUUAA
rnacentral:rRNA from 1 species